CUACGGAGGCUGCAGUGGGGAAUAUUGGACAAUGGGCGAAAGCCUGAUCCAGCCAUGCCGCGUGUGUGAAGAAGGCCUUCGGGUUGUAAAGCACUUUCAGUGGGGAAGAAAGCCUUGGGGCUAAUACCCUCGAGGAAGGACAUCACCCACAGAAGAAGCACCGGCUAACUCCGUGCCAGCAGCCGCGGUAAUACGGAGGGUGCGAGCGUUAAUCGGAAUUACUGGGCGUAAAGCGCGCGUAGGCGGUCUGAUAAGCCGGUUGUGAAAGCCCCGGGCUCAACCUGGGAACGGCAUCCGGAACUGUCAGGCUAGAGUGCAGGAGAGGAAGGUAGAAUUCCCGGUGUAGCGGUGAAAUGCGUAGAGAUCGGGAGGAAUACCAGUGGCGAAGGCGGCCUUCUGGACUGACACUGACGCUGAGGUGCGAAAGCGUGGGUAGCAAACAGGAUUAGAUACCCCAGUAGUC
rnacentral:rRNA from 1 species